rnacentral:rRNA from 1 species
AAUAGAUACCCGGGUAGUCCAUGCCGUAAAACGUUGGGCACUAGGUGUGGGGCUCAUUCCACGAGUUCCCGUGCCGCAGCAAACGCAUUAAGUGCCCCGCCUGGGGAGUACGGCCGCAAGGCUAAAACUCAAAGAAAUUGACGGGGGCCCGCACAAGCGGCGGAGCAUGCGGAUUAAUUCGAUGCAACGCGAAGAACCUUACCAAGGCUUGACAUACACCGGAAACUUCCAGAGAUGGUUGCCCCGCAAGGUCGGUGUACAGGUGGUGCAUGGUUGUCGUCAGCUCGUGUCGUGAGAUGUUGGGUUAAGUCCCGCAACGAGCGCAACCCUCGUCCUAUGUUGCCAGCGGGUCAUGCCGGGGACUCAUAGGAGACUGCCGGGGUCAACUCGGAGGAAGGUGGGGAUGACGUCAAAUCAUCAUGCCCCUUAUGUCUUGGGCUUCACGCAUGCUACAAUGGCCGGUACAAAGGGCUGCGAUACCGCGAGGUGGAGCGAAUCCCGAAAAAGCCGGUCUCAGUUCGGAUUGGGGUCUGCAACUCGACCCC